rnacentral:rRNA from 1 species
UACGAAGGGGGCUAGCGUUGUUCGGAUUUACUGGGCGUAAAGCGCACGUAGGCGGAUCGAUCAGUCAGGGGUGAAAUCCCAGGGCUCAACCCUGGAACUGCCUUUGAUACUGUCGAUCUGGAGUAUGGAAGAGGUGAGUGGAAUUCCGAGUGUAGAGGUGAAAUUCGUAGAUAUUCGGAGGAACACCAGUGGCGAAGGCGGCGACCUGGACGGACACUGACGCUGAGACGCGAAAGCGUGGGGAGCAAACAGG